ACGGGCGGCUGCAGUGGGGAAUAUUGCGCAAUGGGGGAAACCCUGACGCAGCGACGCCGCGUGAGCGAAGAAGGCCUUCGGGUUGUAAAGCUCUGUUGUAAGGGACGAAAGAAUAAGGGAGUAACUGCCCUUAAAGUGACGGUACCUUACCAGCAAGCCCCGGCUAACUACGUGCCAGCAGCCGCGGUAAGACGUAGGGGGCGAGCGUUGUCCGGAAUUACUGGGCGUAAAGAGCACGUAGGCGGGUAUUUAAGUCAGGUGUGAAAGACCGCGGCCCAACUGCGGGGUUGCACUUGAAACUGAAUAUCUUGAGGGCAGGAGAGGUCAGUGGAAUUCCUAGUGUAGCGGUGAAAUGCGUAGAGAUUAGGAGGAACACCAGUGGCGAAGGCGGCUUUCUGGACAGUAACUGACGCUGAGGCGCGAAAGCUAGGGGAGCAAACAGGAUUAGAUACCCUGG
rnacentral:rRNA from 1 species